rnacentral:rRNA from 1 species
CAAGUCGAGCGAAGCACUUAUUUCUGAUUACUUCGGUUUGAAGAGAUCUGUGACUGAGCGGCGGACGGGUGAGUAACGCGUGGGAAACCUGCCCUGAUCCGGGGGAUAACAGUUGGAAACGACUGCUAAUACCGCAUAAGCGCACGGAAUCGCAUGAUUCAGUGUGAAAAACUCCGGUGGAUCAGGAUGGUCCCGCGUCCGAUUAGCCAGUUGGCGGGGUAACGGCCCACCAAAGCGACGAUCGGUAGCCGACCUGAGAGGGCGACCGGCCACAUUGGGACUGAGACACGGCCCAAACUCCUACGGGAGGCAGCAGUGGGGAAUAUUGCACAAUGGGCGAAAGCCUGAUGCAGCGACGCCGCGUGAGUGAAGAAGUAUUUCGGUAUGUAAAGCUCUAUCAGCAGGGAAGAAAAUGACGGUACCUGCACAAGAAGCCCCGGCUAACUACGUGCCAGCAGCCGCGGUAAUACGUAGGGGGCAAGCGUUAUCCGGAUUUACUGGGUGUAAAGGGAGCGUAGAUGGAAUGGCAAGUCAGAUGUGAAAGGCAUGGGCUCAACCCGUGGACUGCAUUUGAAACUGUCAAUCUGGAGUGUCGGAGGGGCAAGCGGAAUUCCUGGUGUAGCGGUGAAAUGCGUAGAUAUCAGGAGGAACACCGGUGGCGAAGGCGGCUUGCUGGACGAUUACUGACAUUGAGGCUCGAAAGCGUGGGGAGCAAACAGGAUUAGAUACCCUGGUAGUCCACGCGGUAAACGAUGAAUACUAGGUGCUGGGUGCCACAGGCAUUCGGUGCCGCCGCUAACGCAUUAAGUAUUCCACCUGGGGAGUACGUUCGCAAGAAUGAAACUCAAAGGAAUUGACGGGGACCCGCACAAGCGGUGGAGCAUGUGGUUUAAUUCGAAGCAACGCGAAGAACCUUACCACAGUGCUUGACAUCUCGCGCAUGACUCGUGCUCUGGAAGACUAGGACUUCUCUUCGGAGCGAGGGAUGACAGGUGGUGCAUGGUUGUCGUCAGCUCGUGUCGUGAGAUGUUGGGUUAAGUCCCGCAACGAGCGCAACCCUUAUGUUCAGUAGCCAGCGGUUCGGCCGGGCACUCUGGGCAGACUGCCAGGGAUAACCUGGAGGAAGGCGGGGAUGACGUCAAAUCAUCAUGCCCCUUAUGAUUUGGGCUACACACGUGCUACAAUGGCGUUUAACAGAGGGAAGCAAACCCGCGAGGGGGAGCCAAUCCAAAAACAACGUCCCAGUUCGGACUGUAGUCUGCAACCCGACUACACGAAGCUGGAAUCGCUAGUAAUCGCGAAUCAGAAUGUCGCGGUGAAUACGUUCCCGG